rnacentral:rRNA from 1 species
CGCCUUGCCAGCCCGCUCAGAAACUUAAAUGAAUUGACGGGGGCCCGCACAAGCGGUGGAGUAUGUGGUUUAAUUCGAUGCAACGCGAAGAACCUUACCUGGUCUUGACAUCCCGGAGACCCUUAGGAAACUAGGGGGUGCUUCCAUCUGGAAGAAUCUGGAGACAGGUGCUGCAUGGCUGUCGUCAGCUCGUGUCGUGAGAUGUUGGGUUAAGUCCCGCAACGAGCGCAACCCUUGCCUUUAGUUACCAGCAGUUCGGCUGGGCACUCUAAAGGGACUGCCGGUGUUAAACCGGAGGAAGGUGGGGAUGACGUCAAGUCCUCAUGGCCUUUAUGACCAGGGCUACACACGUACUACAAUGGCCGAUACAAAGGGCAGCGACACUGCGAGGUGAAGCCAAUCCCGUAAAAUCGGUCUCAGUCCGGAUUGGAGUCUGCAACUCGACUCCAUGAAGUUGGAAUCGCUAGUAAUCGUGGAUCAGCAUGCCACGGUGAAUACGUUCCCGGGCCUU